CUUAUAUUUAUUCUUCCAAUUUUUUCUCUUUGUGAUUAAAUUCAGUAAGCGUGGGAGGACCCAAAAUAGACAACUGGGUUUCCACUGUCUCCUCUGCUCGUUUACUUGAGUUUUGAAUCUUUU